rnacentral:rRNA from 1 species
UACGGAGGGUGCAAGCGUUAUCCGGAUUCACUGGGUUUAAAGGGUGCGUAGGUGGGCUUGUAAGUCAGUGGUGAAAUCUCUGGGCUUAACUCGGAAACUGCCAUUGAUACUAUAAGUCUUGAAUACCAUGGAGGUGAGCGGAAUAUGUCAUGUAGCGGUGAAAUGCUUAGAUAUGACAUAGAACACCAAUUGCGAAGGCAGCUCGCUACGCGGUUAUUGACACUGAGGCACGAAAGCGUGGGGAUCAAACAGG